ensembl:Mt_tRNA
GUCUUUGUAGUACAAUCAAUACACUGGUCUUGUAAACCAGAAAAGGAGAAUAGCCAAUCUCCCUAAGACU